GCCCCGUGGUGUAGCGGUUAACAUGUCGCCCUGUCACGGCGAAGAUCGUCAGGACUGAAAAUCCGUGUGUCGACAGUUCGAUUCUGUCCUGAGGCACCA
rnacentral:tRNA from 1 species